GAGAAGAAGAUGGUGCAAGAGAAAUUAUAUUUUGCACCAUAUGCACCAUAUGGCUGUACACCACGCUAAUCAGAUCAUCUCAUUCCUAUGAAUCCCAUUCCUUAGCACUCAUCUUGGCUAUUAGCCUGCAAGGACAGGACAACAUGGUUGGCAUGAUACAUGGCUAUGUUGGUGCAUGGGGUGCAGAAUAUAACUUCUAGUGGCAUAGAGGGAGAGUCAAAG
rnacentral:lncRNA from 1 species